GCAAUAACAAUUAUAUUGAGAAAAUUUUGCACUAAACCGUUUCCUAUCAUUUAUGUAAACAACAUUCCUCAGAUUAAAAUCGGAUGAUAAAAAAAAAAAUAUAUUAAGAAAAUUUGUGAUUUGAGUCUCAAAUUUUCACAACUGAAGU
rnacentral:sRNA from 1 species